AGUGGCGGACGGGUGAGUAACGCGUGGGUAACCUGCCCUAUACAGGGGGAUAACAGUUAGAAAUGACUGCUAAUACCGCAUAAGCGCACAGGACCGCAUGGUUCGGUGUGAAAAACUGAGGUGGUAUAGGAUGGACCCGCGUCUGAUUAGCUAGUUGGUGGGGUAACGGCUCACCAAGGCGACGAUCAGUAGCCGGCCUGAGAGGGUGAACGGCCACAUUGGGACUGAGACACGGCCCAAACUCCUACGGAAGGCAGCAG
rnacentral:rRNA from 1 species